UACACCUAAUUUUUGGAUCAUGCUUUUAGUCAAGUUUUCUAUUCAGAAAGUUAUUUAGUUAAAUAAUUCUAUAUACUCCUAUCAUUCAUAGUGAGUCACCUGAAAGAAACAGCCUCUGAGAUGUAGGAAUCUUAAUUCUAAGUUCCCCUUCAGAAUUAAUUAUCAGGAUUUUGAACCCAUGGUACAGAAGCAGGCCCUAUGUUGUGCUUGUUGGUCCAUGAGCUUAGGAGUUCUGCAGUUAUAUUCCUGGGCAGGUGUAUAUAGCCACAAUUCCAUUGUUGUUGUUUUGUUGUUUUUAUUUUUAAAGGAUAGCUGUACCUACUCUAAACAGCCAGUAAAUCUGAGAAGACAAAAACUUAGGAUGUACAGAAAUCUAAAGAAUAAGGGAAGACUGAAGGUCUAAAACAGCCUUAAAGGAAUAGCCGUGGGAGAAAAUAAGGUAGUGGAAUAACAUUUUCACAAACAGCUCACUGAAGAGCAAAGCUACACCUCUUUGGCAAUUGCUAUAAUUAGAUAUUCCUUCCACAAUGCUUCAAACAUCUCAGACUGGGCAAAGAUACACAAAACAGGUAGGUCUCUUGGAAAAGAUUAAUCAGCAAAAGAAAUCAUCCUUAUGAGCCUGAACUUCAGUUUUAAUAGCAUGGCGUUGUUCUUAAAGGUCUCUUUAAAAAUUAUAAAGUCAGAAAGAAAUAAAAGACAUAGGAAGUGUUAAGACUAUACUAUAAGUUUCAUUGGUCUCUAGCAUUAAAAAUGUCAGAGUACAACAAUACUUAACCUA